CCUACGGGAGGCAGCAGUGGGGAAUUUUGGACAAUGGGCGAAAGCCUGAUCCAGCAAUGCCGCGUGAGUGAAGAAGGCCUUCGGGUUGUAAAGCUCUUUUGUCAGGGAAGAAACGGUGAGAGCUAAUAUCUCUUGCUAAUGACGGUACCUGAAGAAUAAGCACCGGCUAACUACGUGCCAGCAGCCGCGGUAAUACGUAGGGUGCAAGCGUUAAUCGGAAUUACUGGGCGUAAAGCGUGCGCAGGCGGUUUUAGAAGUCUGAUGUGAAAUCCCCGGGCUCAACCUGGGAAUUGCAUUGGAGACUGCAAGGCUAGAAUCUGGCAGAGGGGGGUUAGAAUUCCACGUGUAGCAGUGAAAUGCGUAGAUAUGUGGAGGAACACCGGAUGGCGAAGGCAGCCCCCUGGGUCAAGAUUGACGCUCAUGCACGAAAGCGUGGGGAGCAAACAGGAUUAGAUACCCUGGUAGUCCACGCCCUAAACGAUGUCUACUAGUUGUCGGGUCUUAAUUGACUUGGUAACGCAGCUAACGCGUGAAGUAGACCGCCUGAGGNGUACGGUGCAAGNUUAAAACCGNGAAAGAUGACGNUGAGAGNGCGAGAGACGAGAGGAGAGG
rnacentral:rRNA from 1 species